rnacentral:piRNA from 1 species
UUAACAAGGUUGUCCAGGCUGGGU